rnacentral:lncRNA from 1 species
UUUUUUUUUUUUUGCAGCAACUGCCCUGGAUUGCUUGCCUUUUAUUUGCUUUCUUUUCCAAUUGUUUUUUUCCCAUUUGUUUUGUUGGCGACGAGUGGCCAAGGCUGGAAUUUAAAAGACCCGGGUUGUAGCAGUAACCCUCAGUGAGAUCUUGCACCGAGGACUCACCAUCCCCCAGGAGCUGAAAAGGACGGGACAGGACUGUGCCAAGCUCCAUCCUCUGUGGAUAGACCAUCAACAGGCACACCUUCGUUUGCUGGACACGGCCCGGUUGUGA